GUAACGGAAAUCAGAGGGCCCGAAACCGAUACGGGCCGAUAUUGCGGUUCGGAAAAAAUUCACGGCCAUAACGGCCGUUACGGAGGCGUAACGGCACGUAACGGCCGAUACUCCAACGUUACAUGUCGUAACGUCCGUUACGGACCGUUACAUGGCCGACAGGUAGCAUAUUCGCUGACGGGCAGCAGGCAGCAACGCUGCUUUCCCCCUCUCCCCAGUCCCCACACCCAUCUGCCAUUCAAAGGCUAAAAAGGAAAGUUACAAACUGACCUUGAAAAUUUGUUGGCCUUCGGCAAUAAGAAGGCUUCGAAGCCUGAGAGUGAGCACACCGAGGCUACCGAGCAGAUCUACUCAGAAUUGCAGACUUGCAGUUCCAGGCUUCCAGUUCCAGCAACUUGGCGAGUCACCGGCGACGGCAAAAGGUCUGCAGCAGCUCCGCCAGUCAUCGCAGUCGGCACCUUCCUCCGCUAGUCGUCGCAGUCGCACCAGCCAGCCUCUCGAUUUCAGCUUCGGAGGCUCGGAGCUUGGAGUCAUCGCUGGCUCGCUGCUUUUGCUUCGCUCCUUCGACUGUUCGAGGCUCCUCUGAGUUCCCUCGAAUCCCUCCUCUCUCUCGGUCUGACUCGACUACAGGCCUCAGCGUAUGAGACACUCUAACACCCACAGCACUUUUCAUUAUGUUUUUUUUGUUUUUUAAAUUAUAUUUUGUUGCACCACAGGCCACAGCCCUUUUCAUUCCUUUCAUUCUGUUUAUUUUUUUAAAUUAUAUUUUGUUGUAAAAUAGGUUUGUUAAAUUGAAUUAAAAAAAAAGUAAUUUAAUAGAGUAAAAAAUUAGAAAUUAUUAAUAAUUAUGUAAAAUAAAAUUUUCUUAAUUUAUAAAUAUUUUAAUUGUAUUAUAUUUUUUGAAAGAUAAUUAUGAAAAUUAAUUCCAUGACAUAGCAAGCAAUUAUUAAUAUUAUAUAAUUAAUAUUUUUUAAGGUUAGUAAAUAAUUAAUAUUUACCAAUAAUAAUUGAAGCCUUUUUUAUAAUAAUAUUUGAAUAUCAAUAAUCCACUACUGCAUUCACCAUCUAAACAAAGCAUUAAAAUAAUGUAUGUACACAAGACAUCCAUGUGAUGGCAUUUAUAUUAUCUAGGCUUAAUUGAGCUCUAUUUUUCACCAUUCUUAAAGAAUUCCAAGGAAUACUCUGCACAAUUAUUAGAAUAUUUAGUCUUAGGAUUUGCCAAACUUAUAGAAAUAAAAUUAAUUCAUGGCACCAAUUGGCUAACAUACUAUUUAUGUCAGCUGGAUAAAGUGGUCAUUUUGAUAAAGAAGAUAUCAUAUUCACUCCCAUCUAUUGAAAAAAUAUUAAAUAAUAUUCAUAUUAUAAAAGAAAAAAAAAUUAAAUAACAUCUGUCACCCAUUUUAUGUUACAUGUGUAUCUACUUGCCAUUUCUUGAGUAGGUUGACCCUGUUUAUUAAUAUUUUUUAAGUUUUAAAACAUUAUUUUGACCUUAAAUUUAAAAUUAGGUAAAAUAAAUGUUUACAUCUAUUUUUAGUUUUUAGUUAUCAAAUAAAGUAAAAAUUAAUAACUUAAUAAAAAAAAAUUAAUCUAAUAGUUAAUACAUUAAUAAAUUUGAUUUUUACUAAUUACUACUAGAAUUUGUAGAAAAAUUUAAUUUUAAUCCAUAUACUGAGAAAAUGUUUAAAAAAUUAAAUAGUCAAUUUGUAAUGUAUGGAUCUCUAUUUGUGAUGCUAUGAUGUAUAUGAAAAUAGAGUAAAAAUCUUUUUCACCUGUUAAUUUCUUAUAGUUAUAAAUGAAAAUAAAAUCAAGCUAUAAAAAAUAAUGAAAAUAUCUUUUUAAAGAUAAAGGAAUAUAUUUUUUUUGUAAUAAAAUAUCUAAUAUUUUAUAAUUUUGUUUAUUUAAAUAUAAAAAUAAUAAACAUUACUUAUUAUUUUUAAUCAAAUAUUAUACUUAUUUUUACGUAAUAAGUAUUUAAAAUUAGGACUAUUUAGUACUUAUUAUUUAAUAUUUACUAAAUUACUAAUUAUAUUAUUCCUGUCAUUGUAGGAAGGUUGUAAGUUGUAACUUUGUAUUUUCUUUAUAUUUUGUGUAGAGAUCAUCAAAUUAAGUCUAUCAAUAUGUCACGUGAUAGAGGAAAUGAAAACUUACCUAGUGAAGAUAUUGGAUGGCAUUUUGGUACUGCGGUAGACGGUAAUAGACAUGUUAUUAUGUGUAAAUUAUGUGGGAAGAUAAUCAAAGGGGGCAUUACACGCUUGAAACAACACUUGGCACAUAAAAAGGGUCAAGUAGCUGGAUGCUCAAAUGUGACCACACAAGUAAAAGAACAAAUGAUGAAACAUCUACAACAGUAUGCUGAGAAGAAAAGAGAUAAACAAAAAAGGCAAGAAGAAGCAGAAGCCCAAAUUAGAGGAGAUUUUGAGAAUUUGAGCGAUGAAGAAGACUUGGAAGAAGAAAGUAUGAGAUUUGCUCGACAAGAAAGCAUGCGAUCGCAACAACAAUGGGAAGAUAGACAAAGAUUUCGAGCAAGAACAACUGGAAGGGGUAAUAUUUAUGAAGAGGGAGGUGGCUCUGGCAGUGGUGCUACCAGUGGUUUCAAUAGAGCAGGAGCUCGAUCUUAUAGUGGUCGAGAAGCUGGAGGUAGUGGACGACAAUGGAUCAAUCCUGAUGCCCCUGAAGCUAGACUAAAGGCAAUGGAUCCUAUUUUAGAAAGAAGCAAGAGUGCGAAACAACCAAAACUCAACACAAAGUUACUGAAAGGUUUAAGAAGUAAAUUAGGAAAAGCGGUUGGAAAAUUCCUAAUUUAUAAUCGGAUUCCAGCGAAUGUAGCUGACUCUCCAUUUAUGCAGCCUAUGCUUGAUAUUGCUGCAGAGGUUGGAAAGGGGGUGAAGGGUCCAUCACCCUAUGAGAUAUCUGAAAUUUAUUUGGAGCAAGAGUAUCAAGAAAUGAAAAAUUAUAUAGCUUCUUUUGCUGGAAUUUGGAAGGAAAGAGGUGUAACACUUAUGUGUGAUGGUUGGUCAGGACCAACUAGAAAACACAUUAUAAACUUUUUAGUUUAUUGUGAUAGAGGCACCGUGUUUCAUAAAUCAGUUGAUGCCUCUGAUGUGCCAAGCAGAACAGCUGAAUAUUAUUUCAGGUAAUUUUCUAAUUUUAAUUGUAUAUGCAAAUAGUAUUAUGGACUUGCAUGUUUUUAAUUAAAUAGUAGUAAUUAUUGAAUAUAUAAUUUCAUUUCAAAUUAAUGGAUGAGGUGGUUGAAGAAAUUGGAGAGGAGAAUGUUGUCCAAGUAGUGACUGAUAAUGAAGCUGCAAUGAAGGCAGGAGGAAAAUUAUUAAUGCAGAAGAGGCCCAAUCUCUAUUGGACAGCAUGUGCAGCUCAUUGCAUAGACCUUAUUCUUGAAGAUAUUGGUAAGAAAAGUAACGUGAAGAAGGUCUUAGAAGAUGCAAGAACAAUAACCUCAUUUAUUUACAACCACACAUGGACAGUGAAUUUCAUGAAGAAAUUCACAAAUAAUAGAGAGUUACUUCGCCCUGCCAUCACUCGAUUUGCCACAAAUUUCAUUGCUUUGGAGACUAUUGUCAGGCAUAAACAAGCACUAAGGGAAAUGUUUACAUCUGAUGCUUGGAAAAACUCAAGGUUUGGAAUGGCAAAAUCAGGCCCAGCAUAUGAUUCAAAGAAAAUUAUCUUAGGCAAAGAGUUUUGGCAAAAGGCCUCUGAUAUAAUUAAAGUGCAAGAACCCUUGGUGAAAGUUCUUAAAUUGGUUGAUGGUGAUGAAAAACCAACCAUGGGCUUCAUAUACGAGGCAAUUGAUAGGGCGAAGUUGGCCAUUCAAAAAGAUUGCCGGUUUUACAAAGACUAUUGGAAAAUUAUUGACAACCGGUGGAGUUUUCAGUUGCACCAAGAUUUGCACGCUGCUGGGUAUUUUUUGAACCCACAAUUUCUUUAUGGUGCCCCACCCUCUCCUGAAGUUGCUAGAGAAGUCAUGGAUGGAGUUAAAAAAGUGAUAACCAAGUUGGUACCCGAUAUAGAUACUCAAAUUCGGGCUAUUAAUCAAGUAAGUAUUGGUUCCAUUAAAUUGAAUAAUGAAUUGUUCUAGUAUUCUGUAAUACUUUCAAGAAUAAUUAUUAAUACAUCUAAUUAAUUAAUUAU